rnacentral:ncRNA from 1 species
GGAGAAUCUUAGAUUUUCUUAAUGUUCUGUAUAGAAGGCAGCAAUGCAGCGACAGGACGUCGCUGCAAGCAAAAAACUAAGACAUGGAUGUCGGUUUUUUUGCGGUUGCGGGAAGAAAAAAUUAUUUGGCAGAACAUUUAGAAAAUGUUAGAUUCGGA